rnacentral:rRNA from 1 species
UACAGAGGGUGCAAGCGUUGUUCGGAAUUAUUGGGCGUAAAGCGCGUGUAGGCGGCUUAGCAAGUCGGGCGUGAAAGCCCUCGGCUCAACCGAGGAAGUGCACCCGAAACUGCUGAGCUUGAGUGCCGGAGAGGAUGGCGGAAUUCCCCAAGUAGAGGUGAAAUUCGUAGAUAUGGGGAGGAACACCGGUGGCGAAGGCGGCCACCUGGACGGUCACUGACGCUGAGACGCGAAAGCGUGGGUAGCAAACAGG